rnacentral:rRNA from 1 species
UGAGCAGGGUAAGCCGACCCCUAAGGCGAGGCCGAAAGGCGUAGUCGAUGGGAACCAGGUUAAUAUUCCUGGGCCAGGAAGUAGUGACGGAUCUCGAGGGUAGUUCAUCCUUAUCGGAUUGAAUGGGCUGCUUAGAGGUUCCUGGAAAUAGCUCUUCCGCUAGAUCGUACCCUAAACCGACACAGGUGGACUGGUAGAGAAUACCAAGGCGCUUGAGAGAACGAUGUUGAAGGAACUCGGCAAAAUACCUCCGUAAGUUCGCGAGAAGGAGGCCCCGUUAGGACGCAAGUCUUGGCGGGGGGCACAAACCAGGGGGUGGCGACUGUUUACUAAAAACACAGGGCUCUGCGAAGUCGCAAGACGACGUAUAGGGUCUGACGCCUGCCCGGUGCCGGAAGGUUAAAAGGAGAGGUGCAAGCCUUGAAUUGAAGCCCCGGUAAACGGCGGCCGUAACUAUAACGGUCCUAAGGUAGCGAAAUUCCUUGUCGGGUAAGUUCCGACCUGCACGAAUGGCGUAACGACUUCCCCGCUGUCUCCAACAUAGACUCAGCGAAAUUGAAUUACCGGUCAAGAUGCCGGUUACCCGCGGUUAGACGGAAAGACCCCGUGCACCUUUACUACAACUUCACACUGGCAUUAGGCCGAACAUGUGCAGGAUAGGUGGUGGGCUUUGAAGCGUGGACGCCAGUCUGCGUGGAGCCUCCCUUGAGAUACCACCCUUGUUCUGCUUGAUGUCUAACCGCGGUCCGUUAUCCGGAUCCGGGACCCUGUGUGGUGGGUAGUUUGACUGGGGCGGUCGCCUCCUAAAUCGUAACGGAGGCGCGCGAAGGUUGGCUCAGAGCGGUCGGAAAUCGCUCGUUGAGUGCAAUGGCAGAAGCCAGCCUGACUGCGAGACUGACAAGUCGAGCAGAGUCGAAAGACGGCCAUAGUGAUCCGGUGGUCCCAAGUGGGAGGGCCAUCGCUCAACGGAUAAAAGGUACGCCGGGGAUAACAGGCUGAUACUGCCCAAGAGUCCAUAUCGACGGCAGUGUUUGGCACCUCGAUGUCGGCUCAUCUCAUCCUGGGGCUGGAGCAGGUCCCAAGGGUACGGCUGUUCGCCGUUUAAAGAGGUACGUGAGCUGGGUUUAGAACGUCGUGAGACAGUUCGGUCCCUAUCUUCCGUGGGUGUAGGAUACUUGAGAGGAGUUGCCCCUAGUACGAGAGGACCGGGGUGAACGAUCCACUGGUGGACCAGUUGUCAUGCCAAUGGCAGUGCUGGGUAGCUAUGAUCGGAAAGGAUAACCGCUGAAGGCAUCUAAGCGGGAAGCCCCCCUCAAAACAAGGUAUCCCUGAGAGCCGUGGUAGACCACCACGUCGAUAGGCCGGAGAUGUAAGCGCAGCAAUGCGUUCAGUUGACCGGUACUAAUUGCUCGAUAGGCUUGAUUUG